GGGGGAGUGGUGUGGUUACGAAUGUGGCCUCUGCAAGCAGACAGCCUGGGUUCAAUUCCCAGCUUGGCCA
rnacentral:tRNA from 1 species